AGAGUUUGAUCCUGGCUCAGAUUGAACGCUGGCGGCAUGCCUUACACAUGCAAGUCGAACGGCAGCACGGGAGCAAUCCUGGUGGCGAGUGGCGAACGGGUGAGUAAUACAUCGGAACGUGCCCAGUAGUGGGGGAUAACCCGGCGAAAGCCGGACUAAUACCGCAUACGACCUGAGGGUGAAAGCGGGGGACUCGCAAGGGCCUCGCGUUAUUGGAGCGGCCGAUGUCAUAUUAGCUAGUGGGUGGGGUAAAGGCCUACCAAGGCGACGAUCUGUAGCUGGUCUGAGAAGACGACCAGCCACACUGGGACUGAGACACGGCCCACACUCCUACGGGAGGCAGCAGUGGGGAAUUUUGGACAAUGGGCGCAAGCCUGAUCCAGCCAUGCCGCGUGCGGAAAGAAGGCCUUCGGGUUGUAAACCGCUUUUGUCGGAGAAGAAACGCUUCUGGUUAAUACCUAGAAGUAAUGACGGUACCCGAAGAAUAAGCACCGGCUACUACGUGCCAGCAGCCGCGGUAAUACGUAGGGUGCAAGCGUUAAUCGGAAUUACUGGGCGUAAAGCGUGCGCAGGCGGCUUUGCAAGACAGAUGUGAAAUCCCCGGGCUUAACCUGAGAACUGCA
rnacentral:rRNA from 1 species